GGUGUAGGCUUAGUGGUAGAGCAUACCCUUGGCAUUUGCAAUGCCCUGGGUUCAAUCCCCAGCACCA
rnacentral:tRNA from 1 species